AUGGCGAUGCUUCGUGAUGUUUGGAUGCCAAGCAGCCAAUGCUAUUUCACAGGGCCACUUUGGCUGUCUUUUGAGGCGGAAAAUUUUGAGCUAAAGCCUGGUCUUAUUGCUUUGGUUCAACAACAUCAGUUUGGAGGGUUGCCUACUGAAGAUCCUUACGAGCACUUGCUCCGAGUCCUGGAGUAUUCAGAUACAGUAAAGUACCAUGAAGUUCCUCAAGAUGCUAUCAAGUGCAUGCUGUUCACAUUAUCUCUCUGUGAUGAUGCUCGUGCUUGGUACCGAUCCUUGCCAUCAAGGUCAUGCAGUUGGAAUGAGAUAUCACAAGCAUUCUUGGAUAAAUAUUUCCCACUACACAAGCAGUCCGUGAUUCGAGAUGAGAUCUUCAACUUUGUUCAGCGUGAAGGCGAGAGUUUGUAUGAUGCUUGGGAGAGGUACAAAGCCUUGUUCAGGAGAUGUCCUAAUCAUGGGCUCGAGAGAUGGUUAGAGCUGCAGAUAUUCUAUAGAGGAUUGACUUCGGACACUCGAGCUUACGUCGAUAUGGCAUCGGUGGAGCUAUUACAAACAAGACACUUGAUGAUGCUUUUCUGCUGA
rnacentral:rRNA from 1 species